UCUUACACACGUAAAGGAGCCAGCUCACCUGUUCACAAACACAAGUCCUAGAAAUAGCACUGGCAACAACCGGCUUCUGAGCUUGCCUCGCCAGACCUGGGGUUUCCAAUGAUUGCUCAGUUAGGUCUAUUUUUCUCACCUCUGUGAGUCCUUUUAGAUACAGGUCCUGCUGAGAACAAUCAAUGAUGACUGAAGUUAUAGCUACUUGAUGUUGAGCUACAUGGGUCCAUGCCAAAGGUCACUUCAGGAUCAAUGACUCUCCCUGCUUGCCCCUGGUGCCUUCCUGAAGUGAACCGAGUAUUCUCCAAACACUGCCCUGGACCAUAGCCACCUUGAUGAGGCUUUCCAAUCCACAACCACAUCUGUGCCAUUCUCAAGAAUUUUGCUCAGUGAGUCAAGUUGGAACUCUGCAAAGCUACUUCAGUUUUGACUGCCUUCACCACACAGACCUUCUUAUGUGCUGCCCCAUGCUUUCCUAUGUUGCUGAGCCCCUAGGGUCUUCUCUCCAUCCCUAGCUCUAUCUACGAUAGAGGCAAUGCCUCUUUCUACUCUCUGAUUCUCUAUGCUCUUAGAUUUGGGAAUGUCCAAACUCUUUGGGAA